CCUCAGCUGGGCAUUGGUCCUGGCCAACUGUAAGAGGCCUCUUACCAGAAACUGGGCUCCUCGGUCCUCAUUCCCAGCUGUGGCCACCACAAAUAGAUCAAAGCUUAACACCGUGUGACUGUGACAAAACAGAUUCAUUGCGUGACACUGUCUGAAUUGCUCCCAGAAUGGAAGUCUCCACCCCACUUGGCCACCGCUCAGGCUGAUGCUCUUUCAGGUGUGAGCAAGUAAAUUAAACUCUCCUAGCCUCAUGGAGAUGACAGGAAGAUCUCAUCUGUGUCACAGGACUGCGGGACCCCGAAUUGUUGGUGGGAGUGAGAAGAGAAGGCUUUAUA